CUGCAAUUAGUGGCAGAUUGCUAGCUGCUGUGUCUGGCACUCCUGUGCGUGCUCUCUGUUUGAGAAUGGAGCUGAAACCACACGAGCUGCUCGUGCGAGGCUCUGGCUGCUUUCAUGCGUUCUAAUUAUCUGGAUUAUCCCACCUACUGUCUGGGAGCUCAAGCAUGGCUCGUCUGAAGAAAACCUCAGAGAACAACAACAGUCAAACGCACAAGGACACCAUGGCCAUGAGCGGCUGGGAGCUGUGCAGACCAAAAGAGACAAUGAGAGGUCUGCAGGACAGGGCCAUGCCAGAAAGAGAUCUGCAGAGGGGAAUGAGGCUGAACACUGAAUGAAAGCAGAAAGAUUCAUCUGAUUUGAAAAGAUAAUCUGUACAUCAGGCCAGGAGAGCAAGUCCAGCAGAAGACUGUUUUGAUGACCGAGCGGAGCUCUCCCCUGUAAGUGAUGCUUCGGGUUCUUCAGCUAGCAGAGCAAGCACACUGCUGAGCAGCAAGCAGGGUGGCUCAGUGGUGUGGCUGGCUUUGUUGCACUGUUGCUCUGGUAAAUAAGCCAGCCUGACAGUCAGGCCAGCAUUUAGCUCAACAAAGAUGUUUUUCAUUAUCGAAAUCUAAUUCAUGUUUCUCUGUUCAUCUCAUAGGCAGAAAUUGUGGCACUGCCUCAUGUUAGUAUAGCCUAGUUUUUUAUGGUACUUUGCCAAACUUCUAACAUUUGGGCUGAAAACUUCUAUUCUGGACAUUGGCCAAGGCAGAUUUUUGCUUCAGCCGUAGUGCUUUAGUCAUUUCCAAGAGUAAGAGUACAGAAAGAAAUACACUGCCUGCCCAUGUUAAGAAAUUCUGGAUACGUUUCCUUUGAGAAGGUUUUAGUAUCGGUGUAACUUGAAACAAGAACUUGAAGCCUGGCACAGGGAUGGUUUGUGUUGUCCUUGUUGAAAGCUGCUAAAUUUGGUCAGCUUUUCAGCUGCCACACUGUGCAUAUUCUGGGUAAAAAGCUGCUAUAACUUUUCAGUUUAACUUCUGUGAGACUUCUUCGAUGAUGAACCAACUCUAUAGGAAACACCAGGAGGAACGAAGAGGCCCUGGAACUGCUGUUCCCUUUCCUAAUUGCUCUUUGUGAGGUUCAGGAGCUGACACCAAAACCAAAAAGAUCUUUUUGGUGUCCCUCACGGCUGGAUUCAGGCAGCCUGACAGAGCCACCUGAACUGCACAAGGUGGGUGCAGGUGCUUUAUGACACACACACAUACCCAGGCAUGUCUGGGGGUUGCAGAAACCAUUGAACACGUGCUGUAUGUGGUGGAGGUAAACUGGCCUCCUUCGGUUUGUCCGGAUAAGGCAGCCUGUCACUG